CCCCAGGGCCCUGCUGCUGCCUUACCUUGCUGGGAUGACUGCUUGAUUAAAGACCCCAACACUGGACCAGGCCCUGGUGUUCCCAGACCUGCCGCUAUGGCGCAACAAGGCAGGUGUUUGAGGAGGCCCUGCACGGGGUCCCAGGACUGCACCGGGGGCCUCAUCAGCAACCUGCUGCACUGUGGUGGUGUGAGGGGAGGGUGGGCCACCUUGGUAUCCUCCCUCUAUCCCACUGGGGGCUGGUGGGCCCUGAGGUGGAGGCAUCUCCUUGGGCCCUGCUGAGGAUGGCAGUAGUGGGUCAGCUCCUGGUUGGGGGACCUGUGUGGGGCCGACUCCUCCAUCCCACAUAGGCUUCUGUGCCUCUCCCCAUCAGUUGGCCAAUGGAGCUCCAGAACAAGCUGUUGCUGCCAGAUAAAGCAGCAAAGGCUGCUCCACUGCCCACCCCAGGCCCCCUUCCCUUCCUCCAACAGGCUGAGUGGAGAACCCUAAAACCACGGGACAGGCUCCCGUUGCCUGUGCCUACAUAGGAGGGUGCUGACUCUGGCAGGAAGACAGCGUGCCUGCCCCGCAUCACCUGUCCCUGAGUGCAAACACCUUGGGAAGGGGGUUCCUGGUGGUCCUCUGACAACCAGAGACCUCCAGGGCCAAGCUGCCCACUCCUGGUCCCUCAAUAAAGAACUGCGAGCAAAUGCUUGUCCUGUGGAGUUGGGCAGGCAUGGGGCUAGCUGCAAGCAUCCGUCUUCCCCUAGGAGGCCACUGCAGCCUGGCCCUUCUGUGCCCUGGGCCCCUCCUCAAUGCACCACCACCAACCACACCACCCUGGGACAGAGGAAACACAUGGGAGGCCACAGCAUAGAGCCUGUCUGUUUAUAGAUCUCUGCCUGUCUCGUCCGUCCAUCCACCUGUGUGUAUAUAUCUGUAUAUCUCUAUUGAGUGGGGAACGGGACAGUUGUGUAAAAAUCCAAAAUACAAUUCUGACUGUGAACAACCUG